GACGAACGCUGGCGGCGUGCCUAAUACAUGCAAGUCGAACGCAGUGGGGACGGGUGAGUAACACGUGGGUAACCUCCCAUCAGAGGGGAUAACACUUGGAAACAGGUGCUAAACCGAUACUGAUGGAUGGACCCGCGGUGCAUUAGCUAGUUGGUGAGGUAACGGCGCACCAAGGCCACGAUGCAUAGCCUACCUGAGAGGGGUGUCGGCCACAUGGUGACUGGUACACGGCCCCGACUCCUACGGGAGGCAGAAGUAGGGAAUCUUCGGCAAUGGACGAAAGUCUGACCGAGCAACGCCGCGUGCGUUAAGAAGGUUUUCUGAUCGUAAAACUCUGUUGUUAGAGAAGCGGUAUCUAACCAGAAAGCCACGGCUAACUACGUGCCAGCAGCCGCGGUAAUUC
rnacentral:rRNA from 1 species